AUGGAUCGAGCGGGAAUUAAGGAAGAAUUUAACGCAUAUUUGUGCAACGCGGAUCUUGUGAGCUUCGAGGAAGAGAAGUGCAGCCAGUAUCACUAUCUCACUAGUUCCUUUGUGAGGAGGUUUGAAUUUUCAUCUUCACGUAAUUCUCCAACUGUCCUGUUUGAUCUUUAUGAAAAAUCUUAUACUAUGGACUUAGAGGAUUUUACCACUUCUUGCAAACUUCCACAAUGGGGUAGUAUCAGGGAACCUCGCAAAUAUGAAUUUAGAGAUUUUCUUGCUAGUAUAACUGUGGGGGAAUCUAGAGAUAUAACACAAGCUACCAUAGGGAGCAUUCAUUUUCCUGCUAUACAUUAUUUUGCUCUCUUCAUAGGUAGAUGCAUUAAUGGUAAAGAUGAGGCAUGUCACAUGUGUGUCCCUGACCUCAGUAUUCUUAGGAGUGCUGUGUUAGGAGAUAAAUCUUAUAAUUUGGGAGCCAUUGUUGCACGUAGGUUGCAUCUUAAUAGAUUUAAUGGAGAUUUCUUUGGUGGAAUUUAUGCAACCCGCUUAGCUGAUUUUCUCGGUGUGACCAUACGCGAGGAUGAUAUUGAAUUGCCUCCCGCUUACCUAGAUUUUAAUGCUAUGGUUCACCACCAGUUUGUUGAGAGGAGUGAAUCACCUCUCCAGUAUCGACCAAUCUUUGACAGACGGCGUGCUGUCCGUAUUACUCUCCCUGCUCCUGCCUUCUUUGAUUAUCAGGCAAAAGGAAGAUAUGUUAUUACUAGAGAGGAGGCAGAUGAGUACAAGAGGAGGGCUGAGGCCGCUCGUCGCCAUGUUGCAGCUCAGGAGGCGAUAGUUGCUGCAUCGCAGUACGACCCCAACUAUUAUUAUGGAUAUCCGCCAGGCCAGCCGUGGCCAUAG
rnacentral:rRNA from 1 species